rnacentral:rRNA from 1 species
UACGGAGGGUGCAAGCGUUAAUCGGAAUUACUGGGCGUAAAGGGCGCGUAGGUGGUUAUAUAAGUUGGCUGUGAAAUCCCUGGGCUUAACCUAGGGUUGUCAGCCGAUACUGUAUGACUAGAGAGUGGUAGAGGGUAGUGGAAUUUCCGGUGUAGCGGUGAAAUGCGUAGAGAUCGGAAGGAACACCAGUGGCGAAGGCGACUACCUGGGCCACAACUGACACUGAGGCGCGAAAGCGUGGGGAGCAAACAGG